rnacentral:tRNA from 1 species
CGCAGGGUGGGGAAGCGGUUAUCCCGCCUGGUUCAUACCCAGGAUGUCCCCGGUUCGAAUCCGGGCCCUGCAA